rnacentral:rRNA from 1 species
UACGAGGGGGGCUAGCGUUGUUCGGAAUCACUGGGCGUAAAGCGCACGUAGGCGGCUUUCUAAGUCAGGGGUGAAAUCCUGGAGCUCAACUCCAGAACUGCCUUUGAUACUGGAGAGCUUGAGUCCGGGAGAGGUGAGUGGAACUCCGAGUGUAGAGGUGAAAUUCGUAGAUAUUCGGAAGAACACCAGUGGCGAAGGCGGCUCACUGGCCCGGUACUGACGCUGAUGUGCGAAAGCGUGGGGAGCAACAGGG